rnacentral:rRNA from 1 species
GACGUAGGGCGCGAGCGUUGUCCGGAUUUAUUGGGCGUAAAGAGCUCGUAGGCGGCUUGUCGCGUCGUCCGUGAAAACCUGCGGCUCAACUGCAGGCUUGCGGUCGAUACGGGCAGGCUAGAGUUCGGUAGGGGAGACUGGAAUUCCUGGUGUAGCGGUGAAAUGCGCAGAUAUCAGGAGGAACACCGGUGGCGAAGGCGGGUCUCUGGGCCGAUACUGACGCUGAGGAGCGAAAGCGUGGGGAGCGAACAGA